rnacentral:lncRNA from 1 species
CACUUUAGUAUCUUUAGUACUAUCUGCAAUCAGUAAAUCUAGAAUAGUGCUAAAGAGUGGUUAGAUAACAAGCAUGAAUCUAAUAAGUUCAUUACCCCUUCUUGACUCAAUAAAAACAGUUUUGAAAACAUUUUAUAAAACUCAAUAGAUAAGAAAAUAUCAGUAAACAUCCCCCCAGACUUAAAUUACACUGUCCCCAGUGUAACACAGUCGGUGGUAAGGUGAAAAUCAUAAAGCAGAAGUACAAAAUUUAACAA